rnacentral:rRNA from 1 species
CCUACGGGAGGCAGCAGUGAGGAAUAUUGGUCAAUGGCCGAGAGGCUGAACCAGCCAAGUCGCGUGAGGGAAGACGGCCCUACGGGUUGUAAACCUCUUUUGUCGGGGAGCAAAGAGAGUCACGUGUGACUCAUUGAGAGUACCCGAAGAAAAAGCAUCGGCAAACUCCGUGCCAGCAGCCGCGGUAAUACGGAGGAUGCGAGCGUUAGCCGGAUUUAUUGGGUUAAAGGGGUGCGCAGGCGGAGGUGCAAGUCAGCGGUCAAAGUGCGGGGCUCAACCCCGUACUGCGGUUGAAACUGCAUCCCUAGAGUGCGCGAGAAGUAUGCGGAAUGCGGGGUGUAGCGGUGAAAUGCAUAGAUAUCACGCAGAACUCCGAUUGCGAAGGCAGCAUACCGGCGCGCAACUGACGCUCAUGCACGAAAGCGUGGGUAUCGAACAGGAUUAGAUACCCGGGUAGUC